rnacentral:rRNA from 1 species
GGUCCUAGCCUUACUAUCAUCUGUUUCUCAUUUUACACAUGCAAGUCUCAGCACCCCAGUGAGAACGCCCUUUUAACCUACACCAGGAGAAGGAGCUGGCAUCAGGCACUAUCCCUGCCCAUAACACCUAGUCUCACCACACCCCCAAGGGUAAUCAGCAGUGAUAAAUCUUAAAUAUAAGCGACAGCUUGAUUUAGUUAGAGAAAAGAGGGCCGGCUAACCCGGUGCCAGCCGCCGCGGCUACACCGUGGGGCCCGAGCUGAUAGUCACCGGCGUUAAGCGUGAUUAAAGCCCUCAACAAUUAGGGUUAAAUUAAUAUUUAGUAGUGAUAAGCUUGUUAUUAAGAAAACCAUAAACGAAAGUUACCCUAAUUACACUUGAAUCCACGACAACUGGGAAAACAAACUGGGAUUAGAUCCCCC